rnacentral:lncRNA from 1 species
AUCGGUAGGCUGACUCUGCGGAGUUAUAGGUGAGGAAGAGGAAAGCAAUGGUGGGAAGCCAAUUGAAGACCCUGGUUUGGCUGCUGGGGCCGCUGCUCUCAGCUUGUUGCGGGGGUGACGCUGGUUGAAUUCCGGGCUUGCAUCCAGACGUCUUUGCCGAUACAGGCAUAUCCAUCGUCCUGAAACACAGGAGAGUAGAUGGAGCAGGAUGAAUGAGAGGACAUAUAUGAAGGCAAUCAACCCGCAAGUUCGCCGAAGUUGCGCCCUCUGAUAAAGUCAACGCAAAGACUUUCACGAAAUUUCGUAGAAAGCGGUUUGCAACCCCCCGGAAAAAUCCAUCAUCUCAAGGCCCAUGGCCUGCACACAUCCGUUCAAUUUCCAGAGAAACGAAUUGACAACGUGUGAGAAUGAAAUCCUAAGAUGAAUCGGCCUCAAUAAACCAUGUUUCAUCCGAUCUUGAUCAAAGCCAUUCAGAAACCAGAGCAGGUUUGGAUAAAAUGAUGGUUCGAUUCAGUCUUUUGUGCUGAUGAGCAAGAAAACCCUAAGGAACGAGGUUUCUUGUGCAAUGGAUGAGAUCACGAAAACCCCAAUCGAUCAUGAAAACCCAAAAAUCGAAUUCUCUUUGGGCUGUCUUAUGAAGAAAACCUCGAAAAGGAGCCCCAGAAGAGAGAUUUCUACAUCACGAGGUGAAAAGAAAGAAGUUACCAUAUCCGAUGGGAAGAAAGGGGGGAACCAAUUCAUACAAAGGCUUCACAAAAUCAAAUCAUGUAGGUUUCCAACGAGGAGGCGAAGGGAGAUUACAAGCCAACCAGGUUUCAUUUCGUAGGGCAUCUUUAGGAACGAGAUAAGGAGACACAGGAAGAAGAACCUGA